CCGCCCAAUGCGCCGCCCACACCUGCUUCAGUGGUGCCUCCGGCAGAGGCGACGCCGCUGACCAGGCCAAGGGACAACAAGAGAAUCGAGGAGAACUUCAUAGAGGAGCCUCAAAGGGAUGACGGCGCGAUCCUGAGGCUGUAUCGAGGGGCUUACAAACGAAAUCCGACGAAUAGCACGAAUUGUACACAAUAUCGUAACUUAUUGUUUUUAAUGCGGAACUUAAGCGAUUUUUGCGGGUCUUUAGCUACUUCGGAACGGCCGCUUUGAUACAAAAGCGGCCUUUUUUGUGCCUGCGGUUCAAGGCUGCGCAGCGGCUGUCGCCGGCAGGCCGGCUCCUACGAUUCACGCGCUAGCCGUAGAAGCUGGCUUG
rfam:Pseudomonas fluorescens Pf-5, complete genome.